rnacentral:rRNA from 1 species
GUCUACGGCCGCGCCACCCUGAACACGCCCGAUCCCGUCUGAUCUGGGAAGCUGAGCAGGUCGGGCCUGGUUAGUACUUGGAUGGGAGACCACCCGGGAAGACCAGGUGCUGUAGCCU